rnacentral:rRNA from 1 species
UGGGGAAUAUUGGGCAAUGGGCGCAAGCCUGACCCAGCAACGCCGCGUGAAGGAAGAAGGCUUUCGGGUUGUAAACUUCUUUUGAGAGGGACGAAGAAAGUGACGGUACCUCUUGAAUAAGCCACGGCUAACUACGUGCCAGCAGCCGCGGUAAUACGUAGGUGGCAAGCGUUAUCCGGAUUUAUUGGGUGUAAAGGGCGUGUAGGCGGGAGUGCAAGUCAGAUGUGAAAACUAUGGGCUCAACCCAUAGCCUGCAUUUGAAACUGUACUUCUUGAGUGCUGGAGAGGCAAUCGGAAUUCCGUGUGUAGCGGUGAAAUGCGUAGAUAUACGGAGGAACACCAGUGGCGAAGGCGGAUUGCUGGACAGUAACUGACGCUGAGGCGCGAAAGCGUGGGGAGCAAACAGGAUUAGAUACCC